rnacentral:rRNA from 1 species
GGGGAAUUCACUAGUGAUUCAGGCCUAACACAUGCAAGUCGAGCGGGGUUUUCGGACAUAACGGCGGACGGGUGAGUAAUGCGUAGGAAGCUACCCGAUAGAGGGGGAUACCAGUUGGAAACGACUGUUAAUACCGCAUAAUGUCUACGGACCAAAGUGUGGGACCUUCGGGCCACAUGCUAUCGGAUGCGCCUACGUGGGAUUAGCUAGUUGGUGAGGUAAUGGCUCACCAAGGCGACGAUCCCUAGCUGGUUUGAGAGGAUGAUCAGCCACACUGGAACUGAGACACGGUCCAGACUCCUACGGGAGGCAGCAGUGGGGAAUAUUGGACAAUGGGCGCAAGCCUGAUCCUUCAUGACCGCGUGUGUGAAGAAGGCCUUCGGG